rnacentral:rRNA from 1 species
GACGAACGCUGGCGGCGUGCCUAAUACAUGCAAGUAGAACGCUGAAGGAGGAGCUUGCUUCUCUGGAUGAGUUGCGAACGGGUGAGUAACGCGUAGGUAACCUGCCUGGUAGCGGGGGAUAACUAUUGGAAACGAUAGCUAAUACCGCAUAAGAGUAGAUGUUGCAUGACAUUUGCUUAAAAGGUGCAAUUGCAUCACUACCAGAUGGACCUGCGUUGUAUUAGCUAGUUGGUGAGGUAACGGCUCACCAAGGCAACGAUACAUAGCCGACCUGAGAGGGUGAUCGGCCACACUGGGACUGAGACACGGCCCAGACUCCUACGGGAGGCAGCAGUAGGGAAUCUUCGGCAAUGGACGGAAGUCUGACCGAGCAACGCCGCGUGAGAGAAGAAGGUUUUCGGAUCGUAAAGCUCUGUUGUAAGAGAAGAACGAGUGUGAGAGUGGAAAGUUCACACUGUGACGGUAUCUUACCAGAAAGGGACGGCUAACUACGUG